UAACGAGGACACGCUUUACGAGACCUCGGGUUCACGAGCUUUUACGAAUCUUAUUUUCUGUUUACGAGUUUUUGCUUUACGGACGUUCUUCAGGAACGAAUUAACCUGUAUAUCGAGGCAUUGCAGUAUAUUUCAGGAUGAGUAAAACGUAAGCAACGUUUUGAAACAUGAAAUCCAUCACAAUAUAUUUCAACAAUGCAGAAAUUUCAUUCAUCAAGGUUCUAUAUAAUCAUGCCAUGUACAAAAGAAGCCUUGGAACUGUCAGAAUUUCAAAUAGGCCGAAUUGUGGGCUAUUAUGAAGAUGAACAUAGCUUAAAAUCGCAGAAAACCUUUGAAUCCCGGUUUCUACAAUUAAUAAAGGGAUUGUGCAAUUCACAUGAGAAGGGAAGGAGUCCACAUCACUUCGCCCAGAUAAACCAGGACCCUCUGACAGGAUCCUUCCCUUUGCUAAGAGAAGUGUCGAGAAUAAUCCCGCUGCGAGGUCUCUGACAUAGCAGAAUAGGUUAAUGUCAGUCCCAGAACAACUAUCAGAGAAUACCGAACUGGCUUACACAGGAUCUUGUUUUUAGGAAAUCCCAAUAAGUUAUGGAUACCCAAACAGUGAAGUCAGUUAUGUAAUAACAUGAAAUUAGUUUACCGAUAGUAAGAAUUCAAAUAAAGUAGCCCCGAAAACGGCUUUAUUGCGUUCCCAGAGUAUAUAGAACAUAAGAGGAAACACUAAUAAGGAAAAUUGGUAUUUGUUGAUGCAUGCAAGACUUCCUUCUCUACGCCGACGAUGUUUAUCCCAAGGAGACGCGGCCGAUUACUUGGGCCGAUAGAGCCCGGCACCAGUCUUCGUCGCAGAUAUUGUUCUCAGAACUUAAAGAUCCGGAACUGAGCCCACAAAGCACUCGCCAAACAUUCUAAAAUUUCCGUCAAUCCACCAGGAGAGGGCAAGAUAUAUUUUUACAAAGACUGGUUGUUUCUCAUACAUGCAAGACUUCUUUCUCCACGCCAGCGAUAUAUAUCGAAGAGAAAGACCAACGACUAAGAUCUAUAAAGCCUGGCACCACGAUCGUUACAGACCUAGUUAUCAGAGCUCAGUGAACCGUCGUAGAUACCACAUAGUAUACAGCCCAAUCCACUUGGAAUUGUUAGAGACGUGGGUAUCAUAUCUUGUGGUUUUUUCCACUGACCCCAGAAAAGAUGAAAAGCAUAGUUGAUCCUAAUGGGAAUUGAAUUCAGAGAGUUAGGUAUCGGAACAGUUUCUGAAAGACAUUCUAUUCAACGCUGUAACAACUCAUUAUCUAUUAACCUCAUUAUCUAUUAACCUCAUUAUCUACGAACGUCAUAAGGUGAUGUGCUAACAAAAUCGUGAGCAGGUCGGACAAAAUUUUAUACGCCAUUUCUUUCAGCUUUAAGUUCUGAGUUCAAAUACAGCCAAGAUACAUUUUGACUUUCACCUUUUCGGAGUCGAUGAAAUAAGUACCAGUUGAACACUGGGAGAUAACCAGCAAGCUCUUCCUCCAACAUUAUAGGACCUUUACCCAUAGUAAAAAAGAUUUAAAGAGUAGAGUUGUUAGAGGGUCGAACAAAAAAUCUUGCAGCAGUUUUGUUUCUUCUUUUUACGUUCCAUGUUUAAAUCCCACAGAGCUUAGGUUUGCCUUGCAUUCCUCUAAGGUCGAUAAAAUUACAUACCAGUCACAUUCGCCGGUCCACAACUACAUCCUGGUAACCAACCUUACUCUUCGCAACUUGUGGUGUUUCCCAAGCUGAGGGAGUAGAUGAAAAAGGCCAUGACAAGGAUCCAGGAUACAUUCAAAAUAGAGGGCUUCCGUGGGACUUUCACAAAGUGGCUGGAGCACUACAAGUUUAUUGAUGUCAGAGGAUCCUGUUUCGAAGGAGAUUAAAGUUUUGUACUUCUUUGAAAUAAAUAAAUGUCGCUUCUGAAAAAGUCUCAAAACUUCUGGAAUGCACUUUGAAUACUUCUAAAGUUAGCCAUCGUAUGACGGGUCACACUAUAACUAUUUCAUAUAAUUGCUACGCGCCCCCUUCACAUGACUGUGAAAUCUUAUAUGCUGAU